rnacentral:rRNA from 1 species
GACGAACCGUCCAAACGUUAUUCGGAAUCACUGGGCGUAAAGAGUGUGUAGGCGGUGUUCCAAGUCUGGUGUGAAAUCUCCCGGCUUAACUGGGAGGGUGCAUUAGAAACUGGAAUGCUAGAGGAUGGGAGAGGUAAGCGGAAUUCCUGGUGUAGCGGUGAAAUGCGUAGAUAUCAGGAGGAACACCUGUGGUGUAGACAGCUUACUGGACCAUUUCUGACGCUGAGACACGAAAGCGUGGAUAGCAAACAGG